rnacentral:rRNA from 1 species
AUUGAACGCUGGCGGCAGGCCUAACACAUGCAAGUCGAGCGGAUGAAGGGAGCUUGCUCCUGGAUUCAGCGGCGGACGGGUGAGUAAUGCCUAGGAAUCUGCCUGGUAGUGGGGGAUAACGUCCGGAAACGGGCGCUAAUACCGCAUACGUCCUGAGGGAGAAAGUGGGGGAUCUUCGGACCUCACGCUAUCAGAUGAGCCUAGGUCGGAUUAGCUAGUUGGUGGGGUAAAGGCCUACCAAGGCGACGAUCCGUAACUGGUCUGAGAGGAUGAUCAGUCACACUGGAACUGAGACACGGUCCAGACUCCUACGGGAGGCAGCAGUGGGGAAUAUUGGACAAAGGGCGAAAGCCUGAUCCAGUCAUGCCGCGUGUGUGAAGAAGGUCUUCGGAUUGUAAAGCACUUUAAGUUGGGAGGAAGGGCAGUAAGUUAAUACCUUGCUGUUUUGACAUUACCAACAGAAUAAGCACCGGCUAACUUCGUG